GGGCUCCAAGCCGACCCAGGAGGGUGCCUUGCGCAAGGCUUUCUGAUGCAACUCGAUGCUGGCCGAAGAACACCUCGGCACCCCCACCCCGCACCCCGCCAGCUUUUCUCAGAAAGGGCCGGCCAGUGGCCUGGAUUCAACACACAUAAUCCCUUUCUUUCCCUGGCCCUGGUGGCUUCAGGACUGGCAGGAGGCAGGCCAGAAGGACAAUUUAGAUGACUCAGCAACUCAACUCAGCAGCCACUCCAGGACUGGGUCCCUCUCCCCGCAACUGGAAGGGAUGAAAAGAGCCACUUGCUGGGGACGUUUGUGGAGGCAGGAAGAUGAUGUAAGGGAAGCACCUGCACAGGACCAUGCUGGAGCCACGGGCACCACAAUCAUGUCCUUCAUGAAGAAAACCCAGGCCCACGGGGCAGAGCUGGGCACCUAGCACGGCUGUGGCUGCCACUGGGCCACCACUGAGCGGAUGCUGUGCCCGGGCACUGGCCUCCCUGCCUUUGCUGGGGCCCAGCUUGAGCCAGAUUCAGAUGCUGAGGGAUUUCUGGAGAACCCCUGGGAAACUCCAGAGAAAGGGGAGGUGCCAAGAUGCCCGACAGAUGCUCCCCAGGAGGACCACAGGCCUGGAGCUGCAACUCUUGAAUCACCCAUCUUUUUCCCCAGAUUUGUUUGGCCUGAAUUUAUCUACUCAUCUGUAUUUUUAGUUCCGUAAUGCUUUUCUUUUUUUCUUUUUUUUUUUUUGCUUUUCAGGGUCACACCUGCGGCAUAUAGAGGUUCCCAAGCUAGGGGUCUAUUCUGAGCUGUAGCCACCGGCCUACACCACAGCCAUAGCAAUGCCAGAUCCAAGCUGAAUCUGCGAACUAUACCUCAGCUCAUGGCAACACCGGGUCCUUAACCCACUGAGUGAGGCCAGGGAUCGAACCCGCAACCUCAUGGAUCCUAGUCAGGAUCAUUAACUGUGUGAGCCACGAAGGGAAUUUCCAUAAUGUUUUUCUUUCAAUGGGCUCAUUAAAAAAACAAAACAAAACAAAACAAAACAAAAAACUGGACUUCCCAUCAUGGCGCAGUGGUUAACGAAUUCAACUAGGAAACACGAGGUUGAGGGUUCGAUCCCUGGCCUUGCUCAGUGGGUUAAGGAUCCCACGUUGCUGUGAGUUGUAGUGUAGGUCAAAGACUCAGCUCGGACCCCGAGUUGCUGUGGCUCUGGCGUAGGCCAGCAGCAACAGCUCCAAUUAGACCCCUAAUCUAGGAGCCUCCAUAUGCUGCGGGAAAUUAAAAAAUAAAAAUAAAUAAAUAAAUAAACUUUAGAUAAGU
rnacentral:lncRNA from 1 species